AUGGUAGCCCAGCCCCAUGGGAGCCCAGCCCCUUGGUAGCCCAGCCCCAUGGGAGCCCAGCCCCGUGGGAGCCCAGCCCCAUCCUGCCCCCAGCACCCCGGAGCUCCGGGGCCGGCAGCUGAUCCCGAACGGCCGCGGGACACGGAGCAGCUGAGGAACAGCCCGUUCCUGGGAGCACUGUCUGUGCCAAAAAGCACAGGCUCCAAAGAACAGCCUGGGGCUGAUCUACACCAUCUACGUGGACGGGCUGAGCGUGUCCCUGGAGAACGUCAUCGGGAACCUGCUGACCUGCACCAUCCCCAUCACGGGGGGAGCUCAGAGCUCCUGAGCACAAAUGCCAUCAGAUCCUCGAUUAGCCACCAGCUGCUGCGGUGGUUCCGUGCCCUGGCUCCUGCUGCCUUGGGACAGACAGGUGUGGUCAGUCCAUGCAAGCAUUCCCUGCUCCGAGGGCACUCCUGGGGUCUGGCUCUGUGCUCAGCCCUGUGGGAUCACCCUGUGGAGAGCUGCUCCAGAGCCCAGCGCUGGCACAGCCGUGGGGACACGGGCCAGCAGGGCCAGCAGGGCCAGCAGGGCCAGGACAGCAGCCUGGAGCUCUCCUCGGGGCACUGGCCUGGUGCUGUGUCUGUGCCAGGUUCUGUGUCUGUGUUUGUGCCAGGUCCUGUGUGUGUGACUGUGCCAGGUCCUGUGUGUGACUGUGCCAGGUCCUGUGUCUGUGACUGUGCCAGGUCCUGUGCCUGUGUCUGUGCCAGGUCCUGUGUGUGUGACUGUGCUGUGUCCUGUGUGUGUGUCUGUGCCAGGUCCUGUGUCUGUGUUUGUCCCAGUUUGUCCCAGCUGGGUCCUGUGUCCAUCUCUGUGCCUGUGUCCAUGUCUGUGCCAGGUCCUGUGUCCAUGUCUGUGUUCAUCUCUGUGCCUGUGUCCAUGUCUGUGUCUGUGACUGUGCCAGGUCCUGUGCCCAUCCCUGGGGCCCUGAGGAGCAGCAUCAGCUUCUCCUGGAGCUGAGGCCGCCCUGCUGUCCCCCCAGAGCCGUGUGUCCCCCCCAGAUCCGUGUGUCCCCCCAGAGCCGUGUGUCCCCCCAGAGCCGUGUGUCCCCCCAGGGCCGUGUGUCUCCCCCAGAUCCGUGUGUCCCCCCAGAGCCG
rnacentral:lncRNA from 1 species